rnacentral:misc_RNA from 1 species
AAUUCUCAACUCCCUCGGAUUUUUCUGUCCGCAGGUGAGCUUGGACUUGGAGGUUUUUGCCGGCAUAUGGGCUUUUGUCAAGCCCGCUUGUCCGCUCCUCUCAAAAGUAUUAGCUGCGAGUUGAUCUCGAUAGCCCGACCGGUGUGAUAAAUCCUUACGCCGAAUCGUGCCGUCUUGAGCGACCCUGUCGGAGACCCUCCAGCUCAUAACCGUCCUUACUUGGACAGUCACCUUGAAU